UAACAGAUAGCUUAUUUAAAAGCGUAGUACUGAAGAUACUAAAAAGAUUUAAAUCUUUGUUAA
rnacentral:tRNA from 1 species